rnacentral:lncRNA from 1 species
GAAAAUCCGGGUGGGAACAAGGAGCAGGAGCUCAUUACAGGGACAAUGUUGCCGCUGAGAUACAAGUAAAACUAGCGUGUGCUGCAGUGUGUGAGAGGAGAGAAAAAACAGUGGGGGCUCAACAAAAGCAGCGGAUGUAGCAGGUUCUUAGGCAAGGCCCCCACUGAUGAGAGCCUCUGGCUGUGGGCCAGGCUCAGGUAGCCACAGAAAGCUCACAGCACAGCCCCCAGCUGAACCGCAAGCCUCUGCCCCACCGUCCCCACCUCAGAGCAAAGAAGAAACUUGAAGCAGACGCUGCUCCCCAAAAGCAGUGCCCCAAAAUAUGCUGGGGCAGGCACCAUGGGCAAGGCUGUCUCCUUCUGGCCCUGCCGUCCUGCUGCUGGUGAUCUGUGGCAGCAUGAGCUCCCAGGACAUCUGCAGCUCCCCAGGUACUCGUGAGUCCUUCCCUCCCAGACCCAGGGCACUUUGUAGCCCAACUACUGUGAGCUCUGCCCUAUGGCAGCCCUUCACUGCUGUGUCUCCUGCAGGGGAUCUUCCAGCUCCUGCUUUCCAAAUGAACUUAACUUCUGCUCAGCCAGGUACCACAGUUGUGCUCCAGUGUAUUCUCCAUGUGUUUUCACAUACAAGACGAAUCAUCUUCUGCAAGGAUGGGAAGGAGGUGUACAGCCAGGAAGCCCAGCAAGGGCAGCUGAGCUACUUCACAGUCCUGAACAUCACGUCAAGAAGCGCAGGAAGAUAUACAUGUGGGUACCAGCAGAGGAAUGAGAUGAAACAGAGGAGGAGCUCUGCCCUCAGUGCUGGCCGCAUCCUGAAUGUCCCUGGUGAGUCAUGGCCCUGGGCUGGAGGGGUGAGAAGGGACGGAGGCAC